AAGACUCUAGUAAAAUAGCAAUCACACUACUUUGUCAGGGUAGAGUUGUGGGUUAAAAUCCCACGUGUCUUA
rnacentral:tRNA from 1 species